UACGUAGGGUGCAAGCGUUAAUCGGAAUUACUGGGCGUAAAGCGUGCGCAGGCGGUUGGGUAAGUCUGUCGUGAAAUCCCCGGGCUCAACCUGGGAAUUGCGAUGGAGACUGCACGGCUAGAGUGUGUCAGAGGGGGGUAGAAUUCCACGUGUAGCAGUGAAAUGCGUAGAUAUGUGGAGGAACACCGAUGGCGAAGGCAGCCCCCUGGGAUAACACUGACGCUCAUGCACGAAAGCGUGGGGAGCAAACAGG
rnacentral:rRNA from 1 species